GAUGAACGCUAGCGGCAGGCCUAAUACAUGCAAGUCGGACGGGAUUCCGGAGCUUGCUUCUGAUGAGAGUGGCGCACGGGUGCGUAACACGUAUGUAACCUACCUUUAUCAGGGGGAUAGCCUCUCGAAAGAGAGAUUAAGCCCGCAUAAAAUCACAGCACAGCAUUGUGUAAUGAUCAAAUAUUUAUAGGAUAAAGAUGGGCAUGCGGAACAUUAGCUAGAUGGCGUGGUAACGUCCCACCAUGGCGACGAUGUUUAGGGGAUCUGAGAGGAUGGCCCCCAACACUGGUAAGGAGAAACGGACCAGAAUAAGACGGGAGGCAGCAGAAAGGAAGAUAGGGCAAUGGGCGGAAGCAUGAACCAGCCAGGCCGCGUGCAGGAAGACGGCCAUACGGGUUGUAAACUGCUUUUAUACGGGAAUAAACCCAGAUACGUGUAUCUGGCUGAAUGUACUGUAAGAAUAAGGAUCGGCUAACUACGUG
rnacentral:rRNA from 1 species